rnacentral:rRNA from 1 species
GUAGGUGGCAAGCGUUGUCCGGAAUUAUUGGGCGUAAAGCGCGCGCAGGCGGUUCUUUAAGUCUGAUGUGAAAGCCCACGGCUCAACCGUGGAGGGUCAUUGGAAACUGGAGAACUUGAGUACAGAAGAGGAAAGCGGAAUUCCACGUGUAGCGGUGAAAUGCGUAGAGAUGUGGAGGAACACCAGUGGCGAAGGCGGCUUUCUGGUCUGUAACUGACGCUGAGGCGCGAAAGCGUGGGGAGCAAACAGGAUUAGAUACCCUGGUAGUCCACGCCGUAAACGAUGAGUGCUAAGUGUUGGGGGGGUUUUCCGCCCCCCUUAGUGCUGCAGCUAACGCAUUAAGCACUCCGCCUGGGAGUACGGCCGCAAGGCUG